GAAAGCCUCACUAUUUAAACUAGAAGAUCAGAGCAGUGAGAAUGAUCUGCGGAACAGAUGAAAAGGAAGAACAAAAAAGAAAAGCUUCAGUAAAUCAACUUCCUGCUCAACUUCUAUGAAACCCAAGAGAGUUGCAAAAGUUUACAAGAGGCAGCAAAGCAACAUCAGGAAGCCCAUCAAAGUUUCAAACAAGAACAAGAAUCCCUGUUAGAGUCUGUAAAGUGCCGAACAGCUCAAUAAAGACUUUGAAGAUAUCAAAACAAAAUCCAUACAGUCACUAGAUAAAACAAAGUUGUGGAGACCAGAACAUCAGAACUCACCACAGAGUUUAAGGGGAAACAUGCUGAAAUUCACUAAUUCAAGAAUAAAGUCUGCUGAAAACAAUUUACUGGAAAAGGCACUUGAAAAGGCUGAAACGAUGCAAAACUAUUUGAAGGAUAAAGACAAUAUGACAGAGAGGAAAAUACAAGAGAUUGAGGGGCAAUUAUCUGCUGCAAUGAGAAGAGAGGAAAAAUCCAUCAAGGAAAAAGAUCAUCUGAAGACAGACAUUGUACAACAUGAGGUGAAGUAUGAAGAGCUAUCAGCAAGUCUCAAUCAGCUGCAACUUGAGAACAAGACUAUUCUGGAGACGAUGCAGAAUGAAUCCUCAGAGGCAACCAUUCUUGUAGCACGACUAAAAGUCUGUAUGAAUUGAACAUGUGUUGCUGUAUGUAUAGAAUAAAACAGAAUAAUUGAGCAGUUUUCUGAUAAUUUAAGGUAUUUUGUUGUUAUGGGAAUAUUUUUCUCUCAUUCAGGAGAGGGAGGCAAAAUAGAUGAAGAUGAAGAAGGAAAUUGAAAGGCUCCAGGAGGAAAACCAUCAAUUAUGGAUUUCAAAUCCUCUCUAUGGGAAAGAAAAGGUACCGAAGCUACAGCUUUGAGCUACAGAGGCCGUCAAGAGUAAGGAAGAUGCUGAAGUCAAACGUCAGAACAAGACAGCAGACAUGGUUGCCGUGACGGAAAGCACAAGGUUAAGUUCUCUGUUGGCAUCAGAUCCACUAUGACGAAAUGGUUGACGAGAAAGAUGCAGAGCUUGAUGAUAAGAAGAGAGAAGACAUGGAGGCAGCUGCUAAUAGAACAUCACUGGAAUUGGAUCUGUCACAGCAGAACAUGGAAAAUGGCCAUUUGAAGGAACAACUGGAGAAAGAAAUGAAGGAGAGGGAAAGCUGACUACAGGAGAUUACAGGUCUGGAAAAAGAGACGGCAUGUCAGAAAAUGAGCAGGCAACUGCAGACACAGGAUAACCAGGAAAUGGAAAGCAAAGCCCCAAGAACUCCGUCUUGGAGCUCCAUAACAACAGUUAUAGCAACACCGCAAAUUAAGGAAAGCAAAGCUCUCAAAACUCCAUCUUGGCGUUCCCCAGUACAGCUGGCGCAACACCACGGAUUAAGGUGGGGAUAGAUUUUUUUAUGUGAAGUAUUCACUGUGUUUACUUUGUUGACCGUGACACGUGUACCAUUCCCCCAGAGGAUUCUCUCCAUCCUAUUUCUCUGUGAUUGAGUGAUUUUCUCCACAGUCUUACAGAAUCAGAACUCCUCCGUCCGCUGGGAAGUCUGUGCCCUGGGGGAAGAGUACCCUGGAGCUUGACCUGGGGGAAGAGUACCCUGGAUCUUGACCUGGGGGAGAGUACCCUGGAGCUUGACCUGGGGGAAGAGUACCCUGGAGCUUGACCUGGAGGAAGAGCACACUGGAGCUUGACCUGGGGGGAGAGCACACUGGAGCUUGACCUGGAGGAAGAGCACACUGGAGCUUGACCUGGAGGAAGGGCACACUGGAGCUUGACCUGGGGGAAGAGUACCCUGGAG